AAAACGUUAUUACGUGACGAAAUUUGCCAAAAGGGAUAUCACAUUCGAAGGAGCACAGCUUUACAACAAAUUACCUUGUCUAAUAAAAGAUGUAAGCUCAGUUAACGAAUUUAAAUCUCGGCUUUCGCAAUAUAUUCUCAAUAACACUUUGUCGUUAGAAGAAACCAUUUAAACUAUUCGUUAACUGAGCACUAGGAUUUAUAAGACGACGAUAUGUAUGUUUUACUUUUAUUGUAGUGUAUUGUUCUCAUGUAAGUGACAUUGUCUUUUUGAGAAUAAAGUUCUUUAA